CGAGACUUCUGGCAUUACUGUUUACAGAACAAUGUGUCAGUUACCGCGGAACACAUUCCAGGCCUGGACAAUUACACCGUGGAUUGGAACUCCCGUUACCUGAGGGACUCGGGAGAUUGGAGACUUCAACUGAGUGUGUUCCACAAGAUCGCGCACUUAUGGGGACCUUUGAGUGUGGACCUGUUUGCGUCCAGACUGAACACGCAACUUCCGCAGUUCUUCAGCUG